UAACAGAUUCUUGUGAAUAUUCGUUAUCAUUAUAUGACCCAAAAUGAAAAAGAGUUUGACUCUCCUGACUUAGCUCAAACCAUCUUCACAUGUUCAAAUGGCCUACUCAAAGUCCACACCACUUUCAUUGAAAUAUCACAUUGAAAAGCCAAUAACAACAUUGAUGUAACACAAGGUGAAAAAGGUUAAAGGGGAGUAAAUACAUUUGCGACGCUGUGUUGAGCUGCAGCUACACUGAAGGGAAGUGAGGUUCGUUAUCCCUCAGCGUCGGUCACUCAGCACUGAGCCGCACACCGGGGCAUGCUGGGAAAUCAAUCUGAGCAGGAAAACAGUCGGUAUGGAUUCAUUUACACAAAAACAACCUGAAACAAACAAAUCCCACCCAGUUUCUGCUGCUCAGCGUCAUUACAGCCUCAGCGCUGUCAUUAAAUACCUUCACAGCUUCAACCUGCAGAUGAUUACAUCCUCACAGCUUCUUUUUGCGCAAUUAUCAGGAGCGGGAAUCUGACUCAGAGGCAUGCAGCUUGACUCCAGCUUCAGCUCACACCUGCAGAAAGAAAUCUGUGAUCAGGAUGAAGUUUUAUCAUUCCACGCUUUUUGUGGCGGAGAAUAAACGAUUGUGUGUUUGAAUCGUCAGAGUUUAUCUGCAGAGUCGAGUCAGAGCAGCAGGAGAAUGUGGUUUCUGAGAUCUGUGCUCCACUGCAGCUGGGUUAAAAUGUGUGUGUGCGUGUGUGUGUGUUAGAUUGAGUGCUGGGCCAGAGUGCAGCGAGACACAGGUGUAUUAAAUUGGGUCAGCGUUUUCAUUUCCCAGGGUGAGCACACAAACACACAUUAACACCACUCACUGUGAACCCUGACGUAAACACACCUACACACACUUAUACAAUCCACAUCAGCUCACACACUCCGCUGAUAAGUCGGAUUAGGAGUUAUUUUUUGCAUCGAGACAAAGAUUCCUCCUGAAUCAGACAGCAGAAGAGGAAAGGAGGCUGCUGCUCCUUGGCCCAACAUGUGUGUGUCUGUUUGUGUUGUGUGUGUGUGUGUGUGUGUGUGUGUGUGUGUGUGUGUGUGUGUGUCGGUGAGUAAAAGUCGUGGCCAUACGCUGGUUUUAAUCGUGUUAGUCCGUGAACCAGACCAGGGUAAUAACAGUCAUGAAACAGGUUAAAAACACAAGACAAAAUCAGCAAGUUAGUAAAAUUCUUACUAAGAAUGUUUUAUUAAAAUAAAUGCCAAGAGGUUAAUAAGAAAAAUAACAGCAUACAUCAUGAAAACUAAAUGCAAGCAUGUAAAAAUACUUAUGACAAGGAAACUAAUAAAGUCGCUAAUGAGUUAAACAAGCUGGGAGUCGGCAAGAAAACCAAAAAUCUAACAGAGAAGAAGGCAAAACUCCCCACAGGAGACAGGUUGAGAUGGAGAAGAGGUGGUGGGAGGGCAGGGGGAGCUGUGGGUUUCAUAAAAAUUAAGAAAAAAAACCACUCAGAAACAUGAUUAAUAUACAUAUAAAAUGAGAUUAGAAAAAUACAUUAUAAACCUGUAACAAUGGCUGUUAAUUACAUUAUCAUACAUGUAGUAGGCAGGCCAGAGAGAAUACGGUAGGUAUAGAGUCAACUUUCACCUGAUGGACUUAUCCAGCCUUUCACAAUGACACAGCAUGGUGGAACAUUGCAGAGGGGAUUUUCUUAAUACUGUCAGAUGCUGAUUUGCCAUCUCUUUCUCUACUUUAAUAUUGCAUUUCAAUUUAAAAUCAUAACACUGAAGAAGAAAACAAAAAAGGAAAUCAUAAUAACUCAUUGACCUUUUGGUGUAACAGCGAUAGAGAGAAAACAGACUGCCGACGGCUCUGUUGGAUCCCAGAAUUUCUCAAUUUCAUUUUUGUUUUUUUCACCUUUCAGCAAUAAGCUGUCAGUCGUUUCAA